rnacentral:misc_RNA from 1 species
UACGGAGGGUGCGAGCGUUAUCCGGAAUCACUGGGCGUAAAGGGCGCGUAGGUGGUUUGUUAAGUCCGUUGUUAAAGACCGGAGCUCAACUCCGGCGUGGCAGUGGGUACUGGCAGGCUUGACGGCUGGAGAGGCGAGUGGAAUUACCAGUGUAGCGGUGGAAUGCGUAGAUACUGGUAGGAACACCUAUGGCGAAGGCAGCUCGCUGGACAGCUCGUGACGCUGAGGCGCGAAAGUGUGGGGAGCGAACCGG